AUUGAACGCUGGCGGCAGGCCUAACAUAUGCAAGUCGAGCGGAUGAAGGGAGCUUGCUCCUGGAUUCAGCGGCGGACGGGUGAGUAAUGCCUAGGAAUCUGCCUGGUAGUGGGGGAUAACGUCCGGAAACGGGCGCUAAUACCGCAUACGUCCUGAGGGAGAAAGUGGGGGAUCUUCGGACCUCACGCUAUCAGAUGAGCCUAGGUCGGAUUAGCUAGUUGGUGGGGUAAAGGCCUACCAAGGCGACGAUCCGUAACUGGUCUGAGAGGAUGAUCAGUCACACUGGAACUGAGACACGGUCCAGACUCCUACGGGAGGCAGCAGUGGGGAAUAUUGGACAAUGGGCGAAAGCCUGAUCCAGCCAUGCCGCGUGUGUGAAGAAGGUCUUCGGAUUGUAAAGCACUUUAAGUUGGGAGGAAGGGCAGUAAGUUAAUACCCUGCUGUUUUGACGUUACCAACAGAAUAAGCACCGGCUAACUUCGUG
rnacentral:rRNA from 1 species